rnacentral:rRNA from 1 species
GACGAACGCUGGCGGCGUGCCUAAUACAUGCCAGUAGAACGAAGAAGGGGGAGCUUGCUUCUCUGGACGAGUUGCGCACGGGUGAGUAACACGUAGGUAACCUGCCUGUUAGCGGGGGAUAACUAUUGGAAACGAUAGCUAAUACCGCAUAAUAGUAGAUGUUGCAUGACAUUUGCUUAAAAGGUGCAAUUUCAUCACUACCAGAUGGACCUGCGUUGUAUUAGUUAGUUGGUGGGGUAACGGCUCACCAACGCGGCGAUACAUAGGCGACCUGGGAGGGGGGUCGGCCCACACUGGACCUGGACCCGGCCCCGGCUCCCUCGGGAAGCAGCAGUAAGGAAUCUUCGGCAAUUGGCCGAAGUCUUGACGGACCACGGCGCGGUGGUGGAGGAGGUUUUCGGAUCGUAAAGCUUUGUUGUAAGGGGAGAACGAGUGUGGGAGUGGAAAGUUCACGCUGUGACGGUAUCUUACCAGAAAGGGACGGCUAACUACGUG